rnacentral:rRNA from 1 species
UCAGUCCUCGGGGGGCAGCAGUGGGGAAUAUUGCACAAUGGGGGAAACCCUGAUGCAGCAACGCCGCGUGAGUGAUGAUGGCCUUCGGGUUGUAAAGCUCUGUCUUCAGGGACGAUAAUGACGGUACCUGAGGAGGAAGCCACGGCUAACUACGUGCCAGCAGCCGCGGUAAUACGUAGGUGGCGAGCGUUGUCCGGAUUUACUGGGCGUAAAGGGAGCGUAGGCGGAUUUUUAAGUGAGAUGUGAAAUACUCGGGCUCAACUUGAGUGCUGCAUUUCAAACUGGAAGGCUAGAGUGCAGGGGAG